rnacentral:rRNA from 1 species
UACGUAGGGUGCGAGCGUUGUCCGGAUUUAUUGGGCGUAAAGAGCGUGUAGGCGGCCAGGUAGGUCUGCUGUGAAAACUCGAGGCUCAACCUCGAGACGUCGGCGGAAACCAUCUGGCUAGAGUCCGGAAGAGGAGAGUGGAAUUCCUGGUGUAGCGGUGAAAUGCGCAGAUAUCAGGAAGAACACCCGUGGCGAAGGCGGCUCUCUGGAACGGUACUGACGCUGAGACGCGAAAGCGUGGGGAGCGAACAGG